UACGUAGGGUGCGAGCGUUGUCCGGAAUUAUUGGGCGUAAAGAGCUUGUAGGCGGUUUGUCGCGUCUGCUGUGAAAAUCCGGGGCUCAACUCCGGGCCUGCAGUCGAUACGGGCUGGCUUGAGUGCGGUAGGGGAGACUGGAAUUCCUGGUGUAGCGGUGAAAUGCGCAGAUAUCAGGAGGAACACCGGUGGCGAAGGCGGGUCUCUGGGACGGUACUGACGCUGAGACGCGAAAGCGUGGGGGAGCGAACAGG
rnacentral:rRNA from 1 species